rnacentral:rRNA from 1 species
GUGUCAGCAGCCGCGGUAAUACAGAGGGUGCAAGCGUUGUUCGGAAUUAUUGGGCGUAAAGGGAGUGUAGGCGGUUUGAAAAGUCUUCUGUGAAAUCUACGGGCUUAGCCUGUAAAGUGCAGAGGAUACUAUCAGGCUUGAGUAUCGGAGAGGAUAGGGGAAUACCCAGUGUAGAGGUGAAAUUCGUAGAGAUUGGGUGGAACACCAGUGGCGAAGGCGCCUAUCUGGCCGAUAACUGACGCUGAGACUCGAAAGCAUGGGGAGCAAACAGGAUUAGAAACCCGAGUAGUCC